GACGAACGCUGGCGGCGUGCUUAACACAUGCAAGUCGAACGGAAAGGCCCUGCUUUUGUGGGGUGCUCGAGUGGCGAACGGGUGAGUAACACGUGAGUAACCUGCCCUUGACUUUGGGAUAACUUCAGGAAACUGGGGCUAAUACCGGAUAGGAGCUCCUGCUGCAUGGUGGGGGUUGGAAAGUUUCGGCGGUUGGGGAUGGACUCGCGGCUUAUCAGCUUGUUGGUGGGGUAGUGGCUUACCAAGGCUUUGACGGGUAGCCGGCCUGAGAGGGUGACCGGCCACAUUGGGACUGAGGUACGGCCCAGACUGCUACGGGAGGCAGCAGUGGGGAAUAUUGCACAAUGGGCGGAAGCCUGAUGCAGCAACGCCGGGUGCGGGAUGACGGCCUUCGGGUUGUAAACCGCUUUCGCCUGUGACGAAGCGUGAGUGACGGUAAUGGGUAAAGAAGCACCGGCUAACUACGUG
rnacentral:rRNA from 1 species